GGAACAUCGGAUUACUCAUCUGGUGGCAGGUGGGUGUCGGAGCUGGCUGUGGACCCCACCGUCUGUAGCCAGUCCGCAGCAGCUUUCCUCUCUGGCAAACUCACAGCAAGCAUGCAGGGUGAUAAAACGGCAGUGACAAAUCCAGUGCAAUCAGGUGGGAAAUCCCCCCUGAGUAAUAACACCUCCUCAUCGCUCAUCCCGACCUCUUCCCCUGAGCCCCGCGUCUGCCGCUGAGAACUCAGCGCUGUUUUACCUUCAGCCCUGAGCUCCGCACAGGAAAAAGAAGAGAAAAGUGAGACACGGGAGUCUGGAGGAUCUCAAUCAAUGGUCAGAAAGGAGUACCCAGAAUGUCUACUGAUUGCCUCACUCCACGCAGAAUAUGCAACAUUCAUCCUUUCUCUAUCGCACCCUCCCUGCAUCUCCCAUCAUUCUUGACUCAGAGAAGAAGGCGUCAAGCAUCCUUUCAAGUACCUUCCCCAGGGUUGUCAUCAACUUAACUCCUCUUCAGUUUCCACUGCUACUAGUAAAGUAAUCAUGAUUUACGAAGAAUCCAUGGAAAAAUUUUGCAUCUAUUAAUUAUCUGACUUAAUCUUUACCAGAUUGUUAUUAAGCAAGAAUUACUAUUACCCUGAUUUUCACAGAUGAGGAAAUUGAGGAUAAGGAAAUUUAGGAACCUGCCUAGAGUUACACAACAAGGAAGUUGCAGAGGGGAGGGUUUUUGCCAAGGUUUCUAUGAUUCCAAUGUUAUCACUUUUCUAAUGCAUCUGCUGACCGAGACUGAAGAAUCAACUACCUCCUCCAGAAGGUCAGUUACCCAAGAAAUCUCUGGGACUGAGGAGAACGGGGGAACAGGAGACAGAUCGGAGAGGCUGGGACAUGGAGAUUUGCUUCAUAUGCAAAGAACUCAUCUCCUAGAAUUUUGCAGCAUCUUCCAGAGUCUAAGCUUGUGUUUUGACGUGCCCUUUCCAAGACAAGGGGAUACGUGAAGCUCAGUGAAUCAGGAGCGUUUACGGAGGAGAAAGAAAAUAAGAUCUUCUCCCCAGCUAAAAAUCCAGGCAUUGUCCUUGGCUGGAAAACCUCUCUUGGAUUGUAUGGACAGACUGAAAAUACAUCUUAGCAUCCAAACAUAGACAGCCAGGGCAUGGACUCAGGCUUGAUGCCCAAAGAGAUCCUCAUCAUCAUACCUUAGAAGUACCACAUCCUUUGUUCUUCCUGGCUAAACCCCUUCAGCCAACAUCCCUGCCUGCAGGGUAAGCAAUUUACUUACAGUUAAACUGCUAAUAAGUAGGGAAUCAUGGAUCAAUCAGAAACACUAAAUAUUUCAAAAUAUUUAGGGUCAAUAUUUCAAAAAACAUUGCAACAUUUGUACAUUUACCUGCUACAAGUUUGCAUGGGCAGGAACCAUAUCAAGUCCAUUAAAAUUCCUGAUUUCCUUAUGUCUAGCAAAAUCUUUGAUCACUAGUUAUGUAUAUUUCAGUUAAUAAAAAUGAAGAGCAUGAGUACUCUUCCAUAAGAAAUGCAGCGUGUUGGGAUAUACAGAAUUUUGCAAAACAGAGUAGAAUGGGGAUGGUUAUCAUAACACAGUGGGCCCAUCAGUGUAGUGGAGUUCAACAUUUUUGAUUCCUUCCAAAUUUCCAGAUUUCAUCUUUGAUGUUGGGAAUGUAAAGACUGAUAUAGCACAAUCAUGGUCCUCCAGAAAUGUAUCAGAUUGUUGGGGAAACAAAUAGAUGCAGAAAUAGUUAUCUGCGUGAUACAGCAAAUACAAACAUGUGCAAGAUGCUCCAAGGAUGUAGAAAGAGAAGCCCUGGUUGGGCUUGUGUGGAGGAGAUGUGGGAAAGGGGGCUUUCUCAAGGAAGCGAUGUCUGAACUCAGACGUGAAGGAACAGCAGAGCUUACCCUCCCCACAGGAGGUUGUACUGUACAGCAUGAGCAAAGAAAGGAGGAAGGUGUAAAGACAUUACCUUUGGUGCAAAGAUUGGCAUAGCUGUCCCACAACCUAUUUGAAUUAACAUUUGUCAAUGAGACACCAACAUCAAAUGCUAUCACUGACAUGUGGAAUCUAAAAAAAGGACACAAUGAACUUCUUUGCAGAACAGAUACUGACUCACAGACUUUGAAAAACUUACGGUUUCCAAAUGAGACAGGUUAGCGGGUGGGGGGAUGCACUGAGGGUUUGGGAUGGAAAUGCUGUAAAAUUUGGUUGUGAUGAUUGUUGUACACCUAUAAAUGUAAUAAAAUUCAUUAAGUAAUAAAAAAGGAAAAAAAACUUUACAAUGAUAUAUAAAAAAUAAUAAUGUUUAUCAUGGUAGGUCUCCAUGCAUUAAGAAUUUACUGAGAGGCUAUUCUAUGCCAAGCCUAACAGUGGGCACCCAGGGUGGAUAGCUCAAAUGUCAUGUCUCCAAAAAUCCACAUUUCAGGAGAGAAAACGAUGCAACACUGUGCAAUGAGCUUGAAAGACCUCACCCAUAAUACAUGCUGGACCAGGAGCUUUAUUUGGUAGAAAUGCUUUGAAAAUAUUUUUUUUGUUUUUAUCUUGCCACUGGAUGUGUC
rnacentral:lncRNA from 1 species